ACGCCUGUGCUCUGUGGCCACAGGGAGAGGAGGGGCCGCUUUUAAAUACAAGCCUACUCCUGUCGUUGGACCACAACAAAGACCCACUGGACAGAAGCACAUGAGAGAAAUGGGGUCUCACCCAUUUAUGGAAUGAUGGGGUCUCACCGUGUUAGCCAGGACUGUCUCGAUCUCCUGACCUCGUGAUCUGCCUGCCUUGGCCUCCUAAAGUGCUGGGAUUACAGGCGUGAGCCACCGUGCCUGGCCGCUGGUGAGUUUUUAGAUAACAACACUAAGUGAAAAAAGUCAGUCCCCUAAACUACAUAUUAUAGGAUUCCCUUUAUACAAAGUGUCCAGAAUAGGCAAAUCUAUAGAUAGAAAGCAGAUUAAAGGUUACAGGGGCUGAAGAGACAGGGAAUGGGGAGUGGCUGCUGACAGGUAUGGCUUUCUUUGGGGAUCAAGAAAAGGUCCUGGAAUUAGGUAGUGAUGAUAGUUGCUCAACUCUGUGAAUGAAAUGAAACCUACUGAAUGAUACACUUUAAAUGGGUGAACUAUGCUGCUAGUCAGUCAUAUCUCAAUAAAGCUGUUAUCAAAAAAAAUA
rnacentral:antisense_RNA from 1 species